GGGGCUGAACUGGUAUCGACCUCGACCGAACCGAGAUAGAAGAAGCGAGCCGAGGACUCCCGGUGUGACCUCGUUAAUCCUCUGGGAAACUUAUACCUGCCGCUGCGUAAUGCACGGUUGCCAUCACCUAAAUGAUGGCCGUCGGCCCGAGAUGAGCCUGCGAUCUCGGAACCCGGCGUCGUCUAGCAGGCUUACCGUCUGAAGUUCGUUCGAGGCGAA
rnacentral:tmRNA from 1 species